AAAGUAGCAAAUCUUAUUUUUUCUUGUUCUUGCAUCUAAAGUUAAACCUUCCACAUAUAAGGCUGUUGUGAUACCAAGUGAAAACUAAUAGACCGAACAAAGCAGCACUCCCUUUAUUACAUGAUACUCCUCUUAAAUAAAAUAUUUAGUAAAAAUGGCAGACACCAAAUUAUAACACUGCCCUGCCUGACUCCACAUACUGACUGUGUCCUAUGGAGCAGAUUCACACAGCCCUGCUCUAUUCUAUUCUCAAUCUCCCAUUAUGUUUCCUCUUUUGACUCUGUCCUCCUAGCCGUUACAGUUGUUCGGUUCCUCUCCCCCACUCACUAAGGUAACCGCGCUCCACCAAGCGCACUACAAAACAUAACAUAGCAUUGGUUACUAUGUCGCCAUCGCCCACUACUGCCUUUUAAACCCCGCGU